UACCCUUUCCUCCGUUAGUGAGGUUGCAGAGAAAAAUAAAACUGGGGGCGUUUUUGACACUAGUUCACUGCAGGGUGGGAUGAACAAACAGGUACCAAUGGAAGGCACACACCAAAGAAAGUCAGUCAAGGACGUUGGUACAUUUGGAUUCAAUGAAAUUUCAUGUCCAAAUUGACAGCUCCGGACAGCUGGACAGUUGUAACAUCACUGCCUAUCGAAUACCAACGUGUUUAUCAACAAUAACGUUUUGAUGUGUCUCUGCUGCAGUCGUUCAAGUAAGUCUGGUGCCGUCGUUGCUUCAUCGUUUUUUAGCAUUUAGUUGGUCCGAGCAAGUGGGGAAAAAGGCCUCACAAGUUACCUCCUGAACUGGCUUCUUAAUUUCCGUUCAGUCCACCAAGGAAGACAGAAUCUAUACUCUACCUUGCCAGUGCUAGAACAUGAGAUACGCCACUGCCUAAACGUUAUCUAUUUCAGUUAUCCGUCCAUCAUUACAAUUUCUAAUUUAAAUGACAUACAUCAGAGGAUUGGAAUGGAAGAGUCGGUUGAGAAAUAAUGCUAUAGCCUCUACUCUUAAUAAGCAUUGUGUUGCCUAGUAUUGUCUAUUCAUUCCACUACAAAAAUGGUGCCAUCGCAUAGCCAACGUCGUCAAUGUCAUGUAAUUUGUGGGCUUAAACGAUGCCGUGGUGUUAUCGCAGAUUGCAUGAUACAACGGGUGCUCUACGUUUGCAGGUUAACCUGUAUUUUUGACCCUGUCUAGAAGAAGGUGGGGUGAGAAGAAUCGCCGGCAGUGGAGACAGAAGUUGAUGGCUUGCCAACAAUAUGGUUUCAGUCCUUUACGACGGGGUGCAGUGUGGCGAAAUCAACUACCAUUGCUGAUUAAAAACACAUUCAGGUAAUUAAAAUCUAAUAUGAAUCAUACAGUGAAC
rnacentral:lncRNA from 1 species